GACGAACGCUGGCGGCGUGCUUAACACAUGCAAGUCGAACGGAAAGGCCCUGCUUUUGUUUGGUUCUCGAUUGGCGAACGGGGGAGUAACACGUGAGUAACCUGCCCUUGACUUUGUGAUAACUCCACGAAACUGGGGCUAAUACCGGAUAUGAUCUCCUGCUGCAUGGUGUGGGUAGGAAAGUGUCGGCGGUUGGGGAUCGACUCGCUGCUUAUCAGCUUCUUGGUGUGGUUGUUGCUGACCAAGGGUUUGACGGCUAGCCGGCCUGAGAGGGUUACCGGCCACAUUGGGACUGCGAUACGGACCAGAAUGCUACGGGCGGCAGCAGUGGGGAAUCUUGCGCAAUGGGCGGACGCCUGAUGCAGAAACGCCGCGUGCGGGAUGACGGCUUUCGGGUUGUAAACAGAUUUCGAAUGUGAUGAAGCGUGAGUGACGGUAAUGAGUAAAAAAGCAACGGCUAACUACGUG
rnacentral:rRNA from 1 species